rnacentral:rRNA from 1 species
CCUACGGGAGACAGCAGUGGGGAAUAUUGCACAAUGGGGGAAACCCUGAUGCAGCGACGCCGCGUGAGUGAAGAAGUAAUUCGUUAUGUAAAGCUCUAUCAGCAGGGAAGAAAAUGACGGUACCUGAGUAAGAAGCCCCGGCUAACUACGUGCCAGCAGCCGCGGUAAUACGUAGGGGGCAAGCGUUAUCCGGAUUUACUGGGUGUAAAGGGAGCGUAGACGGCAGUGCAAGUCUGAAGUGAAAGGCGGGGGCUCAACCACCGGACUGCUCUGGAAACUGUACGGCUGGAGUGCAGGAGAGGUAAGUGGAAUUCCUAGUGUAGCGGUGAAAUGCGGAGAUAUUAGGAGGAACACCAGUGGCGAAGGCGGCUUACUGGACUGUAACUGACGUUGAGGCUCGAAAGCGUGGGGAGCAAACAGGAUUAGAUACCCCUGUAGUC